rnacentral:rRNA from 1 species
GAAAAGAACUUUGAAAAGAGAGUUAAAUAGUACGUGAAAUUGUUGAAAGGGAAACGAUUGAAGUCAGUCGUACUGGCGAAAAAUCAACUACUCGAGUGAGUACUUGUGGGCGUACGUGAGCUUCACGGCCGCGUUGUUUGCAAUGUUCGUGCUCUUGUGGUGUACUUUUUCGUGUGGUAGGUCAAUGUCGGUUUUGAACGCCAUAAAAUGAUCGGAGGAAUGUAGCUUCGAUCUCGUAUUGAAGUGUUAUAGCCUUUGGUAGAUGUAAUGAUCAAGAUCGAGGAUUGCAACGAAUACCCUUUUGGGCUUUCCGUCUGACCUCUGAUGGUUAGCUGGGUGCCGAAAGCGUGCUUACGGUUAUCCAAGUUGACUGUCAAUAGAUUAGAACGUGAUUACAUUC